UAUGUUGCUUGAAAGUUGCGGUUAACCGUAAGUAGAAGUCAAGGCAGCUACCCUUAAGCAGUUAAUAACAGAAUGUUCGGUCAGCCAUUACGGUGGAUGCUGCUCUGUCAGAUGAACCAUCCAUUUGUAGCUGAUCCGGAGCUAUCAGAAAGACUACAAAAUAUUUCACGAGGCAACAGUUGAACAGAGGGGUAACCCAGGCCAGCAACCUAGGCCAUUUCCUGGAAAAUAGUAGAUCAAUCAUCAGAACUACUCAAAAUAACAACUGGAAGACACGGAAAGAAAAGGAAGGUGCUGUGUAAGAUGGUCAUCUUACAGUGAGGAAGGACAGGCUCAUGGUCUAAAACGUAACCUGUCAACUGAAUAUUAAUCAUCUGCUGCCUUGGUGUUAACAAUUUCAGUCAGACAUCUCAGCAAAACCUGUCAACAGACGCUCUGUCUCCAUGUAUGUUACUUCUCUCUCUAAGUUAGUCAAGGCUCAUUGAUGGCAAAAAUGCUCGUCCACAGGCGCGAGGGAGGUUAAUAUGAAAUAGACCCUCUGGAGCUUUCUUACAGUGAGGACAGGCACGAAAGUCAGAAGCAACCGUCUUGCCUAAGGUCAAGUUCCUCAAACUAUCUACCGUCGUGAUGCCAAUGGUUUCCUUCCAGUCUUAUCUUCGAAACCUGUCAGCAGCAAGCUCUGUCUAAAUGUAUGGUAC
rnacentral:lncRNA from 1 species